AUAAUAACGCAGCUAUAGUCCACGGAGGUCUCGAGCUAUCCAAUACAGGACAUGGUAUAACGCAGCUAUAGUCCACGGAGGUCUCGAGCUAUCCAAUACAGGACAUGGUAUAACGCAGCUAUAGUCCACGGAGGUCUCGAGCUAUCCAAUACAGGACAUGGUAUAACGCAGCUAUAGUCCACGGAGGUCUCGAGCUAUCCAAUACAGGACAUGGUAUAACGCAGCUAUAGUCCACGGAGGUCUCGAGCUAUCCAAUACAGGACAUGGUAUAACGCAGCUAUAGUCCACGGAGGUCUCGAGCUAUCCAAUACAGGACAUGGUAUAACGCAGCUAUAGUCCACGGAGGUCUCGAGCUAUCCAAUACAGGACAUGGUAUAACGCAGCUAUAGUCCACGGAGGUCUCGAGCUAUCCAAUACAGGACAUGGUAUAACGCAGCUAUAGUCCACGGAGGUCUCGAGCUAUCCAAUACAGGACAUGGUAUAACGCAGCUAUAGUCCACGGAGGUCUCGAGCUAUCCAAUACAGGACAUGGUAUAACGCAGCUAUAGUCCACGGAGGUCUCGAGCUAUCCAAUACAGGACAUGGUAUAACGCAGCUAUAGUCCACGGAGGUCUCGAGCUAUCCAAUACAGGACAUGGUAUAACGCAGCUAUAGUCCACGGAGGUCUCGAGCUAUCCAAUACAGGACAUGGUAUAACGCAGCUAUAGUCCACGGAGGUCUCGAGCUAUCCAAUACAGGACAUGGUAUAACGCAGCUAUAGUCCACGGAGGUCUCGAGCUAUCCAAUACAGGACAUGGUAUAACGCAGCUAUAGUCCACGGAGGUCUCGAGCUAUCCAAUACAGGACAUGGUAUAACGCAGCUAUAGUCCACGGAGGUCUCGAGCUAUCCAAUACAGGACAUGGUAUAACGCAGCUAUAGUCCACGGAGGUCUCGAGCUAUCCAAUACAGGACAUGGUAUAACGCAGCUAUAGUCCACGGAGGUCUCGAGCUAUCCAAUACAGGACAUGGUAAACAAAACGUUGCCUCGCCAUCGGAUUCAAUGAAGACUUUUGAAUAGUAAAG